UCCGGUGGAGCAUCCGACCCAAAGGGCGAAGUCCUGGGACUUAGUGCGCCGGAGCUACGGCGUUUAAAGGCCAGGCGGUGGUACGCCGUAUAUCGCCCGGGCUUGGGGUUAUAGAGAAGCGGGUUGGCUCGUUGGAAAGGGCCGCUCCGGUAGAGCAACCGACCCGAGGGACGAGUUUAUCCGAGCAAAGGCGCCCGAGUUACCAGGGGCGUCGCACCCGUGGGGGAUGUGGGUGUUUUAACACCCACACUUUUCCCGGUGAGAGGGUUCAACACCCACACUUUUUAUGCAGUUUUUCAAGAACGCCUUAUUAAGUCGCUCCUCCGUUUCUCUGGCCGCUCUCUGUCUGCUGCGCUGCGCUGCUUCCUCUCCCCCUCCCCUCUCAAACAUGACGCCGGCUUUGAGUGUUACCGGCUGAUGAUUGGCUGUUCUGCCUUAAGUCCCGCCUCUCUUGGUGGGUUAGAUUGAUCGGUCAGCUCGCGCUGAGGAGGCGGGAACUUAUGUUUAUUUACAUCUCCCUUUUUCAGUAUCAAUAAGAUACAGAAAAGAAAGAGGCAGGAGAAGAUUGACACCUUUUUCAAGAGAAAUCCUGAGAUGAGGUUGCUGGAGGCAUCAGUUUAAAGAGAGAGAGAGACACAUAAAGUUUCACAGGUGUGCAAUGAAAAAUGAAUGUUACAGUUUGUGAAAGAGGUCUAUGAAGGAAGAGAGCGUGUGUUUGUGUCAUGGGUGGUGCUUAAUUCCAUCCCAGGUGCACAUACGCCUGUUUCUGGUGUGUUUAUAUCAAAUUUAAAAUGAUAUAUAUCCAUCCCCCACACUUUUAAAAAGCUUGC